ensembl:lncRNA
CACGUUUUUGGUUCCUACUCUCUGUCACCAGCUGCCACAGGUCCAUCGCUUGGCCUUUCUCACCCGUCUCACCAAACAGACCUUGCCCGGUGACCUGAGCGUUCCCCCAGAGCCCAGCACUGCACGGCACUGGGACAUCCGCCUUCCAUCCCCUUGUGGAAGAGAAAAUAAACUUUCUGUGUCCUCCCAGACCUCCCACGGACCCCUCAGACCCCCGGCUGCCUAUGACCCCCUCGCUCAGCUCAGCGCCCGCAGUGCUGGUGGGCGGCUGCAGCACUUCAACCUCCUCCAGCUGAAAAGUGUUGCCAGAGUGAAUCACUUUGCUUUCUUAUUACUGCAGUUAGAAGCAAGCCGAAACUUGCCAUUUGCAAGAUACCGAAUGUGUUUGUAUUUUGAAGUAUUGAGAUCUUCAGAACUUUACCUCCGACCUGAGAAUUUAAUCCUAUUCAAUCCAUGCAAUUACCCCCAAGUAUCCACACCAAGAACUGACUCAGUAUUCAAACACAGGUCUUCACAGUGCUCAGCACAUUGCCUGAUACACCUUACAGAAAACACUCCAACCAGAACAGUAUGGGGAGAGCUGAAAACCACCGGAGACUUAUUAAGAAAACUAUUAAAAACCAUUAAACACUAUGGGUUUUUUUUUCUGGAGUUGCAUCAGGGAGAGUUCAGGUGGGGGUCAGGGAACGGUUCUACUCCAGAGGGCGGUAGGCAUGGAACAGGCUUCCCAGGGCAGUGUGCACAGCCCUGAGUACCGGAGUUCAAGGAGCAUUUGGACAACACUCUCAGACACUGGGUUUGGAUUUUGGGUGGUCUGGGAGUUGGAUGUGAUGAACCUUCAGGUCCCUUCCAACUCAGGA